rnacentral:rRNA from 1 species
GAUGAACGCUAGCGGCAGGCUUAACACAUGCAAGUCGAGGGGUAUAGGGAGCUUGCUUCCUAGAGACCGGCGCACGGGUGCGUAACGCGUAUGCAAUCUACCUUUUGCAGAGGGAUAGCCCAGAGAAAUUUGGAUUAAUACCUCAUAGUAUGUGAGAAUGGCAUCAUUUUCACAUUAAAGUCACAACGGCAAAAGAUGAGCAUGCGUCCCAUUAGCUUGUUGGUAAGGUAACGGCUUACCAAGGCAACGAUGGGUAGGGGUCCUGAGAGGGAGAUCCCCCCACACUGGUACUGAGACACGGACCAGACUCCUACGGGAGGCAGCAGUGAGGAAUAUUGGACAAUGGGCGCAAGCCUGAUCCAGCCAUGCCGCGUGACAGGAUGACGGUCCUAUGGAUUGUAAACUGUCUUUUAUACAGGAAGAAACACUCCGACGUGUCGGANCUUGACGGUACUGUAAGAA